UCUCUCACGCCUUUUACUUCCUUUUCUUCUUUUUCUCUUUUCUUCCCCCGAUCCCUUCUCUUCUUCUUUCUUCUUUUCUCUUUUCUUCUCCCCUUCCUCCCUCAUUGUCACGAACAGCAAUGGCCCGAGCCCCUCCCCUAUUUUCUUCUCACCCGUUCGGCCGGAUCUCCUCUCCUUGUUCUGUACGGCCCGACCCCCUCCCCUGCAUUUCUCCUUCUCUUCUUCCGGUUCACAGCACGAUCUCCCUCUCCCCUCUUCCCUCAUCUUCUCCUCUUCCUCUCCUCUCAUCCGCACGACCCGCUCCCUCCCCAUCUCCCUUCUCUUCGUUUCACUCACACGGCUAUGAGGAUUGAAACACAGAGAAAUCGUGAGAGAUUGAAGCCCAGUCCGUAAGAGUGAUGCAAUCUGAAAAAUUAGAAGGGGGUUUUGGUGAUUUUCGGCCAUGGGAGGAAGAUGAGCAAAUCCGGUAUUUUACAAGAUGAUGUCCUUUUGGCUGCAGGUACUCGGGUCGUAGUUGAUGGGGGUUGUAGACGUGCAUUUGGGAUAUUAUGACCGAAGCUUGCCGCGAUGGUCGUAAUUGCGGGACCAUGGGCGUCCUCAGUUUUAUAGGUUUUGUUGUGGCUUGUGACGCAUGUGUCACUCGUUAUUGUAUUAAGCCAUUCUGUUAUGUAUUUAUAUUGUGGAAAGACUUAAACACAUAGAUAUUAAAUGGCUCUUGUUGUUAUUAAUUUAUGAUAGAUGUUCAAGAUUUGAUUUC